rnacentral:misc_RNA from 1 species
AAGUCGUAACAAGGUCUCCGUAGGUGAACCUGCGGAGGGAUCAUUACUGAGUGAGGGCCCCCGGCCCGACCUCCAACCCUUUGUAAACCGACCCUGUUGCCUCGGGGACUCCGGCUCGUCGGCGGCCCGGCCCGGGCCACCCCACUCUGCGUCUUUGCGUCUGAGUCUUGAAUGAUAAAUCAAUUAAAA